rnacentral:rRNA from 1 species
ACACGUGGGCAACCUGCCUGUAAGUUGGGGAUAACUCCGGGAAACCGGGGCUAAUACCGAAUGAUAAGAUGUGGCGCAUGCCACGCCUUUGAAAGAUGGUUUCGGCUAUCGCUUACAGAUGGGCCCGCGGUGCAUUAGCUAGUUGGUAGGGUAAUGGCCUACCAAGGCAACGAUGCAUAGCCGACCUGAGAGGGUGAUCGGCCACACUGGGACUGAGACACGGCCCAGACUCCUACGGGAGGCAGCAGUAGGGAAUCUUCCGCAAUGGACGAAAGUCUGACGGAGCAACGCCGCGUGUAUGAAGAAGGUUUUCGGAUCGUAAAGUACUGUUGUUAGAGAAGAACAAGGAUAAGAGUAACUGCUUGUCCCUUGACGGUAUCUAACCAGAAAGCCACGGCUAACUACGUGCCAGCAGCCGCGGUAAUACGUAGGUGGCAAGCGUUGUCCGGAUUUAUUGGGCGUAAAGCGCGCGCAGGCGGUCUUUUAAGUCUGAUGUGAAAGCCCCCGGCUUAACCGGGGAGGGUCAUUGGAAACUGGAAGACUGGAGUGCAGAA